rnacentral:rRNA from 1 species
CGGAUUGAAGGCUGAAAUUCGCCUUCAUGAAGCUGGAAUUGCUAGUAAUGGCAGGUCAGCAUACUGCCGUGAAUACGUUCUCGGGCCUUGUACACACCGCCCGUCACACCAUGAGAGUUGGAAAUACCCGAAGCCUGUGAGCUAACUUAAAGAGGCAGCAGUCGAAGGUAGAGCCAAUGAUUGGGGUGAAGUCGUAACAAGGUAAC